CAAACGAAGUCUGAAUUCUGUUCUAAAGACUGAACUGUCGCUAGGCGCUCCCUAUCUGUUGGACAUGACCAUAUAUGGCUCGGUUUUGCUUCCAAGUCAUUAUCGCGGCUGGUUGAUAUCGCUCUACUCGGAACGAGCGUUCCGAGCGCGUAUCUGUAUCGUGUGCGCGCGAUAGCGCAUCAAAUCGACGAAUUCCACAAGCAAUUUCUUCGACGCGUAACGUUGACCGAUUCUCCCAAGGGGGGCUUUUGACCUUGUCUAAUACAUGCAAGGCAGACUCAAUCUCUGAGAACCGGUAGACAAUCGACGUUGUCUCGGCGCGCACGCGUUAUCGGCCGUUCGCGUUCUUGAAUCUGUUUUUUUUUUUUUUCGCAAAGGCCGCGAUCAACAACGGGCCUCGUGCGCGCGCGGAAGAGUCAAGGAUUCGAAACGCGGUCACGGCGGUUUCCCACCGCCGAGAGAGAUGAGAGCGGCUCGUAACAACGUUUAACAACCAAAAAUAGCUGUUAACUGUCUCGCCACGCUUUUAUAUCACACAUGUGUCAUUGGUAUCAAUCGCAAGGGUCACGCGCGGAAUGUUUUUUUGCAGUUUGUGCAACGAUACGAAACGCGCGCGGCGCGUAUUAAGAGAAUAUAAUAUAUUUAUUUAAAACGCAAACACACACCAAUCCGAAGAUUGGGUCAAGUGCAAUGUCCUCGAUGCAUACGGACUGUGGUUUAAGUAGGCCAGAUGCGUCAACGAAACACGCGGAAAGAUCGAUGACUUUCUUAUUAUUUUCAGGACGCGCGCCUUUUUUAGUUUCCAUUUAUUUUAAAUUCACUCUUUCUUCGUGUCUACAAACCUCUUCUAUCGACGUGCGGAGCCGAUCUCGCGACAAAAUUGACUGAUUGCCGUUUUUGUGAGAAACAGUUACGUUAUCGAAUUGAACAAAUCGAGCAAAAGUGUCGAAAGAACGAAUGUUCAUCGAGAGCGUGUGGAAAAAAAAAAACAAAAAGAUUCGUCCUCGACGAUGACUUCGUCAAUGCCGGCGACGCGACGGACGAGACGGAUCGAGAUGAGAAAAAAGAAGACGACGACACACAGAGCAAGCAGGAGCGUACAAACGACGACGACACGCAGUGUGAAAGACACGCGGAGAUAAAAUUCUCUACGUGCAAUGACGGACAUCUCCUCUCACCGGCUUCCGGUGUGUACACGAAAAAGUGGAUUGGUACGGUUUUAGACAGUGUGCGCGUUGAGAAGGAGGCCAUACCAGAGAAGGGAUCGCUGUGCGCGACCCAGAAGAAAACCUGCUUCCCGUCUCGUAGCACCUGUCUCCCCGUUACACGUACAACCAUCUCAAGUUGGAAUGCAAAACGAUGAUCUUUAUGGUGUUUGGUGGUCGCGGAGAAAUCGAUGAGAGACGUCUGCAGAGCGGGCACCACGCCCAAAGCGAGGGAGGGUGAGAAGGUGC